UCUUCCUGAAAAGCACAGAGGACACAUCUAAAAUGGCAGCACAUUACCUGAAUCCUUCAUCUAGAAGCCAGCCUGCUGCAUAUCCCUUUGCUGCAUCCAGGCUCAGCUGGGAGCUCGCCUGCUCUGUUACUCAGAGGAUGCUGUUUGACCUCACUCAGACCUUCCCAGCAGGAGCUGUGUGUGAUCUCUUGGAUGACAUCCACCCCUGGCUGACACAAACCCUGUGCAGCUGAGUGGUGCCCAGUGUUGUGUCUGCUCUCUGGGAAGAGUCAUGGAUGUAGAGAAGGCAAUCAGGAGCUGAGGGAAUAGACUCAGCCAGGAAGGAGAGUGGUGCUGUUGUUGUAGUGCUUUGCCAGUAAAACGCUCAGAGGGAUUUCAUGCAGGAGCACCUCAGAAUCCUCAACAGAUCUGAAGCAUGAGCAGACUCCUCAGAAAGAAACUGGACACUGUGUUUGGCUGUGACCACUGGGAGAACUGAGAGGGAGCUGCUGGGAGUAACAGCAGCUGAGAGCAGAGUAACUGCUGGGAAUACACUGUCCUGGCUGAACAGGUAAACCCUGGGGGUUAUUUGUCUCCAGUGUCCUGAGUUUGCAAGAGAACAAGUAUGGAAAAAUGGCCCUGUUCCUCCAGUGCUGUGCUGCUUUCCCAGGAACACCCAGCAGGCUGGUGGGAGCCACAGCCCCCAAACACAGGACUGAUGCAAAGCCAGGCUAGACAGUGCCUGCUUCUAAGACAUGACAGUCCCCAGGGGCAGAUGGUUAUUGCUGGCACAGCCACGUGGGCCUGAAACCAGCCAAGCUGUGCUGCAAAACACAGCAAUUAGAACCAGGCAAGUAUUCCAACCUUGCCUUAAACCUGAGAGCAGCCUGCCAGCUCUCAUGAGUCACCUUUACACUGCCAAGGAGCAAUUCCUCCAACUCACAUCUGAGGGUUUCAUCUGUAACAAGCUUCCUGUUUAUAAAGAUACACAGCCAUACAUAAAAAACACCCUUCCCUCAGACAUUUUUUCUGUGCUCCUCAUGUGUUUUGUCUCCCCUCUCAGACCCUGGGGCUCCCCAUCUCUUCUAGAGCUGGUUUCCUUCACUGUCACAUCUCUCACCCAGGGUUAGAGACUCUUUCAGGACCACCUCUCCCCUACCUCUCUUCCCAGGAAGUUUUCUUCCUCAUCUUCUGCCAGGAUGUGCAGCUGACUUUCCUCUGCUCCUGAGGCUGCUGCUCCUGUGGUCUUUUCCUGGCUCCUCACUUCCUCCCCAUCACUCUGCUUCCCCGAGCCACAAUAAUC